GGAGAGGCACACAGAGGGCUGGGGGGGUGAGGAGAGGCACACAGAGGGCUGGAGGGGUGAGGAGAGGCACACAGAGGGCUGGAGGGGUGAGGAGAGGCACACAGAGGGCUGGAGGGGUGAGGAGAGGCACACAGAGGGCUGGGGGGGUGAGGAGAGGCACACAGAGGGCUGGGCAGGUGAGGAGAGGCACACAGAGGGCUGGGCAGGUGAGGAGAGGCACACAGAGGGCUGGGCAGGUGAGGAGAGGCACACAGAGGGCUGGGUGAUGAGGAGAGGCAAGCGGAGGGUUGGGAGAUGCACAAAGAGGGCUGGGGGUAAGGAAAGGCUCACAGAUGGCUGGGGGUCGGGAGAUGCACAAAGAGGGCUGGGGGUAAGGAAAGGCUCACAGAUGGCUGGGGGUCAGGAGAGGCUCACCGAGGGCUGGGGGUCAGGAGAGGGUCACCGAGGGCUGGGCACACAGAGGACUGAGGGGUGAGUAGAGGCACACAGAGGGCUGGGGGGUGAGGAGAGGCACACAGAGGGCUGGUGGUUGAGGAGAGGCAAGUGGAGGGUUGGGAAGAUGCACAAAGAGGGCUGGGGGUAAGGAAAGGCUCACAGAUGGCUGGGGGGUGAGGAGAGGCUCAUCGAGGGCUGGGAGUAAGAGGAGGCUCACCAAGGGCUGGG